CUACAGUGAGCAUUCCAGCUAUACAGAACUGCGAGAUUUUGUUCAGUUUUUGAGACCUGACAAGAUCAUUCCAACUGUGAAUGUUGGGAAUGCUGCUAAUCGAGAAAAGAUGCAAUCCUAUUUCCGAGACUGGCUGAGGUGCUGAAGUCUCUUAUUCACUGCUAUUUCUAGAUGGGAUUUAAGUAUUUAUUUCAGGUCUCUACAUUUAUUGCUGCUUGUAGAAGUUUAAGCUCCGGUGUACUUCCCAUUUAUUGCUGCUACUAAAUUUGGAUGCAAUGCAGGGCAUUCAUCAACUUUAUGACAACCAAAGUAGGACCAGAAUAAAAUGAGAUGCCAUACAUUCUGAUAUUUUCUGAAGAGUACUUUAGCAAUGCCCAAUUUGAACAUUGUUGAACAAAUACAAAAGAAGUAAAUGUUGUAUCUCUAUGCGGUUGGAUUGACUAGUAUAACUUUCGCUAAAGCUGUGCAUGUGAUUGACCAAAUCUGAUUGUAUUUUGAGAAAUAAUCUACAUGUAGAUAUGAUUAAAAUAUAUUAGACAUUGUUAAAUAUAA